rnacentral:lncRNA from 1 species
GCGUAUCGACUUUACAACCUCGACAGGGAAAUGGACGAGCCACGGGCGUGGAACGGAGAUCUCCUGAAGCGCUUCAACACAUGACUGCCGACGAGGACAAUGUAAAGAUCAAGUAUCUUUGAAGUAAUACAAAGCAGAUUGAUUUCUUGCAGGUUCAAAAUUCUUCCGCGUUUGCAGACUCCGGUCUAAAAAUUUUUCUCUCCGAGUGCGCACUAAAAGUCACACUCGGGGACUUAGCUGCGACCCAGAGUUGCCUAAGUAAAAAAAC